rnacentral:rRNA from 1 species
UUGGGCGUAAAGCGAGCGCAGGCGGUUAGAUAAGUCUGAAGUUAAAGGCUGUGGCUUAACCAUAGUACGCUUUGGAAACUGUUUAACUUGAGUGCAAGAGGGGAGAGUGGAAUUCCAUGUGUAGCGGUGAAAUGCGUAGAUAUAUGGAGGAACACCGGUGGCGAAAGCGGCUCUCUGGCUUGUAACUGACGCUGAGGCUCGAAAGCGUGGGGAGCAAAUAGGAUUAGAUACCCUGGUAGUCCACGCCGUAAACGAUGAGUGCUAGGUGUUAGACCCUUUCCGGGGUUUAGUGCCGCAGCUAACGCAUUAAGCACUCCGCCUGGGGAGUACGACCGCAAGGUUGAAACUCAAAGGAAUUGACGGGGGCCCGCACAAGCGGUGGAGCAUGUGGUUUAAUUCGAAGCAACGCGAAGAACCUUACCAGGUCUUGACAUCCCUCUGACCGCUCUAGAGAUAGAGUUUUCCUUCGGGACAGAGGUGACAGGUGGUGCAUGGUUGUCGUCAGCUCGUGUCGUGA